UUAUCUUCUCAGAAGGACGUGUCUGCUCCUCAGCUUCAGUCACUACGACCAACAAUCAGAUUUCAGCAGCAAUACUUACAUAUAUCAUUUUUUAUAAUCAAUUAAAUAUAUAAAAAAUAUUUUUUAAAUAUUAUAAUUUAAGAAUUAAUUUUUUAAAAAAUAUUUUGAUUUUUUUUUACUGUAGAAGCAGUUGUACGUGUGCCUCCC
rnacentral:lncRNA from 1 species